UACGUAGGGUGCAAGCGUUGUCCGGAAUUAUUGGGCGUAAAGAGCUCGUAGGCGGUCUGUCGCGUCUGCUGUGAAAACUCGGGGCUUAACCCCGGGCCUGCAGUGGGUACGGGCAGACUAGAGUGCGGUAGGGGAGACUGGAAUUCCUGGUGUAGCGGUGAAAUGCGCAGAUAUCAGGAGGAACCCCGGUGGCGAAGGCGGGUCUCUGGGCAACAACUGACGCUGAGGAGCGAAAGCGUGGGGAGCGAACAGG
rnacentral:rRNA from 1 species